CGCCAGACCCUACGGGAGGCAGCAGUGGGGAAUAUUGCACAAUGGGGGAAACCCUGAUGCAGCGACGCCGCGUGAGUGUAGAAGUAUUUCGGUAUGUAAAGCUCUAUCAGCAGGGAAGAAAAUGACGGUACCUGACUAAGAAGCCCCGGCUAACUACGUGCCAGCAGCCGCGGUAAUACGUAGGGGGCAAGCGUUAUCCGGAUUUACUGGGUGUAAAGGGAGCGUAGACGGUGAUGCAAGUCAGAAGUGAAAGCCCGGGGCUCAACUCCGGGACUGCUUUUGAAACUGUGUAACUGGAGUGCAGGAGAGGUAAGCGGAAUUCCUAGUGUAGCGGUGAAAUGCGUAGAUAUUAGGAGGAACACCAGUGGCGAAGGCGGCUUACUGGACUGUAACUGACGUUGAGGCUCGAAAGCGUGGGGAGCAAACAGGAUUAGAUACCCUUGUAU
rnacentral:rRNA from 1 species